rnacentral:misc_RNA from 1 species
GUGUAGGUAAACCCAACAGCUUGGCUUUGGGGUGGGGAUGGACUCUGGGGUGGACGUGAACAAUCAAACCAAUAUUUGCACUGGCACCACAAAACCCCAUGAAAACCCCAAACGGGGAAAGACAGCGUCACAUAAUCGAAUUAUGCAAGGCGACAGAGCAGCAAACGAAUGACACAAGUCGAUGGCAUAUAACUGGAUUAACAUAUACGAUAACUUCAUCAGCAUAUAUAUCCUCCAUCGUGGGCAUAUUUGUCUGUCUCUCUCUCUCUGUCUCUCUCUCUCUCAGUUUUAAUUUAAAUGCGCAUACCAAACAGGCAGGCCCUGCUCUUUACUGUCAUCCGAGUAUUACUUAUUCCAUAGCACAGCAUAGCACACCCGACAGACAGCUCAGAAAAUCGAAUCUUUUAGUCAAAUUUCCGGCAACACAAGCGAUACAACAACUUGGAGCGAGAAAAGAAAACAACAAGAAUUAUGCCGCAGUCCACAGUUUGCACAGUCCUGGUUUUGAUGCUGAUGCUGCACUCAAUUUGCUGCACUAGUUUGUUCAAUUUCCAGAUAUUCACCGACACAGCAUAUCCAGAUAAAUGUGUGGUUGAUGGGGCAAACAUUCGCUUGAUUGUCGACAGUGGCAAAACGCAGAGACAUCCUGAUAGGUGUGCUUUGAUCGAAUGCCAUCAAAAUGGCUGGGCCCUGGUGUACGAAUGCACAAGGAAUGCACCACCGACCUACUGCAAGUAUUCCGAAUUUAAGAACCCCGACGCCGCAUACCCCGAAUGCUGUGAGAUGGACAUAACUUGCAACGAUAUUGCUUGGGAAUGAUCUGGAAGUGGCCUUACCUUACCGUCUAGAUGUGUGUUUAAAUUUUAAAUUUUUGUUUGUUUUUGGAAAAGGAAAAAGUAAAAAUAAAUUAUUUUUGUUGGGCACCUA